rnacentral:hammerhead_ribozyme from 1 species
AUCCAGAUGACGAGUCCCAAACGAGACGAAAUGCGCAUACUGGAU